AUGGGCGCGGAACCGGCGGCGCACGGGCGGCUGCUGUGGGCGACCGGCGGCGGGCGGAGGGGUGCCCUACUACAACUGACGCAUCAGCACCACCGCCAACCCCUACACGCGCGGCUGCGAGUCCAUCACCCGCUGCCGCGACGACGACCCUUCCUAGGUGGUCCGACAGUUAAGCGUCCUGUGGAUGUAUCAGAGAAGGAAAUUGAUGCCGCGGGAGAUGGCGAUGUGUUGGUCAUUUUGGAUCUCAGAGCCGAUCAAUCAUUGAUCGAAGCUGGAGUGGCUCGAGAGGAUCAGUAUAUUAGGGACGUGCUUGGUAAUUCACUAGUUCCAAAGGCAGCGGCAACAAAGAUAUGUUUGAAGGUAUGUGCAAAGAUCUUCUCCUCCGUCGCCGUCCGCGACAAAGCUGUUGGGUGCAUCCGUCCAUCAUCUUUAGAUCUGAGUGAAGAGGGCAUCCGUCCAUCUCAAAAGGAUAUGGAUGACCAUCUGAAGGUAUGCAGGUUUCUUCCCAAACUUAACGACGAGAUACUAGGUGAAAGAAAUGCUCUCUACAAGGAAAGGUUGACCAGCCUAGAGAAUUUAGUACUGAUCAUGGUAAGGUUGACAAAGCCUGAAAUCUCAUUUUGA
rnacentral:rRNA from 1 species